rnacentral:rRNA from 1 species
UGGGGAAUAUUGCACAAUGGGGGCAACCCUGAUGCAGCGACGCCGCGUGAACGAAGAAGGUAUUCGUAUCGUAAAGUUCUGUCCUAUGGGAAGAUAAUGACAGUACCAUAGAAGAAAGCUCCGGCUACAUACGUGCCAGCAGCCGCGGUAAUACGUAUGGAGCGAGCGAUGACCGGAAUUAUUGGGCGUAAAGGGUACGCAGGCCGUUUAAUAAGUCGAACGUUAAAGAUCGUGGCUCACCCCCGCGAAGCAUUGGAAACUGGUAAACUAGAGUAGUGGAGAGCAGAGUAGAAUUCCUAGUGUAGUGGUGAAAUUCAUAGAUAUUAGGAGGAAUACCAGUAGCGAAGGCGACUUUCUGGACAGAAACUGACGCUGAGGUACGAAAGCGUAGGGAGCGAAGCGG